GCCUAACACAUGCAAGUCGAGCGGUAGCACAGAGAAGCUUGCUUCUUGGGUGACGAGCGGCGGACGGGUGAGUAAUGCAUAGGAAUCUGCCCGAUAGUGGGGGAUAACCUGGGGAAACCCAGGCUAAUACCGCAUACGUCCUACGGGAGAAAGGGGGCUCCGGCUCCCGCUAUUGGAUGAGCCUAUGUCGGAUUAGCUAGUUGGUGAGGUAAAGGCUCACCAAGGCAACGAUCCGUAGCUGGUCUGAGAGGAUGAUCAGCCACAUCGGGACUGAGACACGGCCCGAACUCCUACGGGAGGCAGCAGUGGGGAAUAUUGGACAAUGGGCGCAAGCCUGAUCCAGCCAUGCCGCGUGUGUGAAGAAGGCCCUCGGGUUGUAAAGCACUUUCAGCGAGGAAGAACGCCUAGCGGUUAAUACCCGCUAGGAAAGACAUCACUCGCAGAAGAAGCACCGGCUAACUCCGUGCCAGCAGCCGCGGUAAUACGGAGGGUGCAAGCGUUAAUCGGAAUUACUGGGCGUAAAGCGCGCGUAGGUGGCUUGAUAAGCCGGUUGUGAAAGCCCCGGGCUCAACCUGGGAACGGCAUCCGGAACUGUCAAGCUAGAGUGCAGGAGAGGAAGGUAGAAUUCCCGGUGUAGCGGUGAAAUGCGUAGAGAUCGGGAGGAAUACCAGUGGCGAAGGCGGCCUUUUGGACUGACACUGACACUGAGGUGCGAAAGCGUGGGUAGCAAACAGGAUUAGAUACCCUGGUAGUCCACGCCGUAAACGAUGUCGACCAGCCGUUGGGUGCCUAGCGCACUUUGUGGCGAAGUUAACGCGAUAAGUCGACCGCCUGGGGAGUACGGCCGCAAGGUUAAAACUCAAAUGAAUUGACGGGGGCCCGCACAAGCGGUGGAGCAUGUGGUUUAAUUCGAUGCAACGCGAAGAACCUUACCUACUCUUGACAUCCUGCGAAUUCGGUAGAGAUACCUUAGUGCCUUCGGGAACGCAGAGACAGGUG
rnacentral:rRNA from 1 species